AUUGAACGCUGGCGGCAGGCCUAACACAUGCAAGUCGAGCGGAUGAGUGGAGCUUGCUCCAUGAUUCAGCGGCGGACGGGUGAGUAAUGCCUAGGAAUCUGCCUGGUAGUGGGGGACCACGUUUCGAAAGGAACGCUAAUACCGCAUACGUCCUACGGGAGAAAGCAGGGGACCUUCGGGCCUGGAGCUAUCAGCUGAGCCGAGGUCGGAUUAGCUAGUUGGGGAGGUAAAGGCUCACCAAGGCGACGAUCCGUAACUGGUCUGAGAGGAUGAUCCGUCACACUGGAACUGAGACACGGUCCAGACUCCUACGGGAGGCAGCAGUGGGGAAUAUUGGACAAUGGGCGGAAGCCUGAUCCAGCCAUGCCGCGUGUGUGAAGAAGGUCUUCGGAUUGUAAAGCACUUUAAGUUGGGAAGAAGGGAAGUAAGUUAAUACCUUGCUGUUUUGACGUUACCGACAGAAUAAGCACCGGCUAACUUCGUGCCAGCAGCCGCCGUAAUAC
rnacentral:rRNA from 1 species